CUUUUGAUGUGGUCGCGCCUAACGGUGAGGAAAGUCCAUACUCGCACAAGCUGAGAUGCUUGUAGUGUUCAUGCUAAACAAAAAAAUAAGUUUGGGUACACCCAGUGUAACGGCAGACAAUUAAUCCUAAGUACCUGGUAUAUGGAUUAAUAAAUCUUGAAGGUGCCACAGUGACGUAGUUUUUAUAGAAAUAUAAAAAGUGGAACGCGGUAAACCCCUUGAGCGAGCAAUUCAAAUUUUGGUAGAAGCACUUAUUUCGUAGAAAUGAAUACAGAAAUAGGAGAUUUAAUAUCUAGACAGAUGACCACAGCUAUUACUUACAAGAGCAUUAGUUACUCGUUAUAGUAAGAGUAGUUACAGAAUAUGGCUUAUGAUA
rnacentral:RNase_P_RNA from 1 species